rnacentral:rRNA from 1 species
GAACGAGUUCUCGUUGAUGAUCGGUGCUUGCACCGAGAUUCAACAUGGAACGAGUGGCGGACGGGUGAGUAACACGUGGGUAACCUGCCCUUAAGUGGGGGAUAACAUUUGGAAACAGAUGCUAAUACCGCAUAGAUCCAAGAACCGCAUGGUUCUUGGCUGAAAGAUGGCGUAAGCUAUCGCUUUUGGAUGGACCCGCGGCGUAUUAGCUAGUUGGUGAGGUAAUGGCUCACCAAGGCGAUGAUACGUAGCCGAACUGAGAGGUUGAUCGGCCACAUUGGGACUGAGACACGGCCCAAACUCCUACGGGAGGCAGCAGUAGGGAAUCUUCCACAAUGGACGCAAGUCUGAUGGAGCAACGCCGCGUGAGUGAAGAAGGCUUUCGGGUCGUAAAACUCUGUUGUUGGAGAAGAAUGGUCGGCAGAGUAACUGUUGUCGGCGUGACGGUAUCCAACCAGAAAGCCACGGCUAACUACGUGCCAGCAGCCGCGGUAAUACGUGGGUGGCAAGCGUUAUCCGGAUUUAUUGGGCGUAAAGCGAGCGCAGGCGGUUUUUUAAGUCUGAUGUGAAAGCCCUCGGCUUAACCGAGGAAGCGCAUCGGAAACUGGGAAACUUGAGUGCAGAAGAGGACAGUGGAACUCCAUGUGUAGCGGUGAAAUGCGUAGAUAUAUGGAAGAACACCAGUGGCGAAGGCGGCUGUCUGGUCUGUAACUGACGCUGAGGCUCGAAAGCAUGGGUAGCGAACAGGAUUAGAUACCCUGGUAGUCCAUGCCGUAAACGAUGAAUGCUAGGUGUUGGAGGGUUUCCGCCCUUCAGUGCCGCAGCUAACGCAUUAAGCAUUCCGCCUGGGGAGUACGACCGCAAGGUUGAAAC